UACAGAGGUCUCAAGCGUUGUCCGGAUUUAUUGGGCGUAAAGAGCGUGUAGGCGGCCAUGUAGGUCCGUUGUGAAAACUCGAGGCUCAACCUCGAGACGCCGAUGGAAACCAUGUGGCUAGAGUCCGGAAGAGGAGAGUGGAAUUCCUGGUGUAGCGGUGAAAUGCGCAGAUAUCAGGAAGAACACCCGUGGCUAAGGCGGCUCUCUAGUACGGUACUGACGCUGAGACGCGAAAGCGUGGGGGAGCAAACAGG
rnacentral:rRNA from 1 species